UACGAAGGGGGCCAGCGUUGCUCGGAAUCACUGGGCGUAAAGGGCGCGUAGGCGGCCAUUCAAGUCAGGGGUGAAAGCCUGUGGCUCAACCACAGAAUUGCCUUUGAUACUGUUUGGCUAGAGACCGGAAGAGGUAAGUGGAACUGCGAGUGUAGAGGUGAAAUUCGUAGAUAUUCGCAAGAACACCAGUGGCGAAGGCGGCUUACUGGUCCGGUUCUGACGCUGAGGCGCGAAAGCGUGGGGAGCAAACAGG
rnacentral:rRNA from 1 species